GUCACCGCCCCUCCCCCCGGGACGCCCCCCAACCCUCCCUCGCGGUCCCCGUCUCACCGUCCCAGGACGCGCCCCGAUGCCGGGAAGGGCCGCGGGCUCUAGAGGCCCUGUCCAAAAAGGCCGAGGUGGCGUGGGUUUCCUGGAGGAGCUGCGGGCCCCGCUUCUGUCCUGAGCACAGCUCGCUGCCCGAGAUGGAGCGGCCGGGCGGUGCGCCCAGCGCUGUGACCAGCCUAGAGUCCUCACUGAGCCUAGGAAGCUGCCCUCCUCUGAUCCCUGUUUCACAGAAAAGGACACUGAGGCACACAGCCGGGUCACUUACCACAGCCACGCGUCAAAGAUCCAUUCCAGGUCCCAGCUCUUGUCCUCUGGACACUAGAGCCACAUCUGUUCCUCCUGUGGGUGACCUCUUUGCCCAGGGCUGGUGCCACCCUAGGCAUCUGCCCUCCCUGUCAGGGGCCCCAGCUUCGGUCUUUGCCCCCACGGGCCCCAGGACUUCCUCACCACCCUCUUUGCACCCAAGGGCUGUGCAUCCGUGACAGUUUGCAGCCCCUUCCAAAUCCUCCCCCAGUUGGUCACUUGGGACUUCACUGCUUCUACUCAGGCCACCCUCUUACUCCCCCACUCCCCCAACCCCGAAAGCCUUGCCUCACCCCUACUGGGUCCAUCCUGCCACACUGGGUCUAAGACUACCCUCCCUAGGAGACGUUGCCAUUCCCCAUGACUCGAUUACUGUUUUGUUCUUCGCUUUUUCCUCUGUGUGCGUGCCUCAUUAGUUAGGAAAGUUCAGUGGAACCAGCCCUUUGCAUAUGGUUGCAUCUUGGGGUUUACAGCCAGUUUCACAGUUCUUCAAAUUUCACCAGAGCCCAGGGCUGGCCGCACCGCACGCCACAGGUUCAAGAGCAGGUUCGGAGAGUUCUGGGGACAUCCCCUAGGCCGGCACAGCUCUGCCCACGAGCUAAGCCCCUCCGGGGGCCGUGCAGACUCGGAUGCCCUCUUGGUUUGUACGAGAUUCACAAUUCAAGGAUGGCCCAACCUCCUGUCUCCCAGGACCUCCCUCCAGGGAGGGCGCUGCAGCCCUGCACACAGCAGGCCCUCGGCACCACCGGCUGCUGCCCUUGAAUGUCAGCAUCGCCAAGCUGGCACCAGAUUCCACGGGUACUGUUACUGGCGGGAGAGCCUGACUCUUGGGAACCGGAGGGCUCGGUGCUUGGAUUCCCGGCAAAAGAUAUACGUGAGGACUCUGCCUCGAGUACAGACAGCCAGAGGGAAGAGAGAGACAGAGCAUGAACGGGGGAGACACAGAAUCCGAAACAGGCUCCAGGCUCUGGGCUGUCAGCACGGAGCCCGAUGCGGGGCUCGAACCCACAGACUGUGAGAUCAUGACCUGAGCCGAAGUCGGACGCCCAACCGACUGAGCCCCCCAGGCGCCCCGGCGGUUACUCUCUUUUACGCUGGUCCUGAGUGCCGCUGUAUCGCAGAUAUUGCCUCUGCUCCCAACACUCAUGCACGGGGGGCAGGGAUACCCCUUUUCCCGAGGAGCAAACAGCCCAGAGAGGUUGUCCCGUCCACAAAGCUAGGAUGCCCCGAGGUUCAGAGCCUGUGCUCCUGCGCCCGAGGCCCCUGCGGUGCUCCGUUGGGCACCGAUGCCUCCAAGUGGCCGAAGCCGGGGCUGGAAAGCUGCAGGAGAGCUGAGGAGAAGACUUGCAUUGUUCCUCUGCUUCUGGAAGCCGGAAGUGUCAUCAUGCCUGAGGUGCAAGCUCCCGGGGAUGAUGGAAACCAGUAACUGGAUCACCUGCCUCUGGGUCAGGAUACAGACCCUGCCGGGGAAGGUCCCUGCCCGCCUCUCCAUCACGGCCUCUGCGGGACUGCCGGUCAAGGGCAAAGCCAAAUCUUAAACGUCCUCUCCACAAACGUCAGUGAAAAGCCUCAGCCGCGGGAGGCGGCCCUCACCUGUUCCACCUGCCGGAGACACGGUGGUUUCCACUGUUACACUGUUGUGAGGUUCACGGCUGGAGUGUCCGUGCCCAUCUGCGUGUUUACGGACGUGUACAGAUGAGUGUUCCCUGUGUGCGACGUCUGUCUCCCCCGAGGGUACUGCGGAAAGUAAUUUGUAAAAGGGCUCUGUUCAAUCGCCUUACAGAAAAAUACGCUUUCAUAUCAAUGAUGUACCCAGGAAAAAUCGAAAAUUGUCUUUCGUCUGGUGAAAGGACAAAGGUUUCUUGGGUGAUUGGUCUCUCUUGAUGGAAUUAUGAAAGGUUUUCCUUUACCUUUUAGGUCAUCUACCUAGAAGACAAAGAUUCUGUGUUUUAUUAAAAUACUUGCCUGCGUCCUCUGUU